CUACGUGGGAGCCACCCUGUAAGAUGGGCUGGCUUACCCUGUAGCUACCCUGUAGCUCCUUAAAGUCAGUGGCGGAGACACGGAGUCCUCUGAGCGUAGUAAAUCUUUCUCGCUUUUGUAGGUUCUGUGGCUUUUGCCGUUAAACCCCCAAACUUUUAAUGGUUGACCUCGGAUCAGGUAGGAAUACCCGCUGAACUUAA
rnacentral:misc_RNA from 1 species